AUUCUCCUGCCUCAGCCUCCCGAGGAGCUGGGAUUACAGUUUUAGGACACACAAUAUUUGCUUUUGUCCACUUGGCCUGGACAUCCAAGAAAUUGGAUUCACCUGUAACACCGUCUACACCCACAUUCACACACUGAACAUGGAGAAGAGAUGUCACAAGAAGCCCAAACCGAAGACCCAUAACAUAACCUGCAAUGAACUUGCUAAAUCA
rnacentral:lncRNA from 1 species